UAAAAAUUUUAUAAGUGAAUGAAAGUCAAAAAUUGGUUUCUAACCUUAUUUUUAA
rnacentral:tRNA from 1 species